AUGAACAUAAUUAAAUUAUUUGACAAAUGGAAUGAUAUAAGUCUUUCGAAACUGAAAAAUGUGUAAUGACAUUUCAAGCACAAUGAAAUAGGUAACAUAAUUUGUUCUCGGAGGAUGAAGAACUCGAACUAUGGUUACACAAACAAAACUGACGAGAUGAAAUAAUUAACACAACUACAUCGACAUAUUCCAACUAAGAGUAAGUGAGGUUCUAUGCCCUUUUGUUUGCUAAUGAAAAAGAAGUUUAGAAAAAGAAGGAACAAA